rnacentral:lncRNA from 1 species
CAAACUUAUGGGAACAAAAAGGAGUAGGUCCGGUAAGGACCGAUUUUGGCCUCAAAUUUCAGGUUCAUCUGACGAAAGAUUUUGACCACUUUUUAAACACUUAAGUGUCUAUUUUAUUUGAAUUAAUUAGUUUAUGUGAAAGAUUUUAACAGAUUUAGUCAUUAAAAACGAUCCGAUUCAAGCUCAAAUAUGAAAAAUCUACCUAAUAUGCCGAAAAAUGUCACUUUUCAGAUGGUUUUUGGUAAAAAUGAAAGUGGCCGCAUCCGUGUUCAUCCUCAACCUUUAUAUGUGUUAUGUAUUAUCAUAAAAUACAACUUACAUUUCAAUAUUAAGGAUGAACACGAAUGCGGCCACUUUCGUUUUACACGAAAACCGUCUAAAAAAUUUAACUAAAAUGCUAGAAUUAUGAGGAUUUCAGUAAUUUAGCAUGACUUAAUGGUGCUAGUUCCGGAUAUAUGUGCAUUGUAUUGUCAAAAACAGCCCG